rnacentral:rRNA from 1 species
GAAAGAACACAGAGAAAAUGAACAACUUUGAGCGGUGGAUCACUCGGCUCG